rnacentral:lncRNA from 1 species
CAGACUUUCCCCGCCAUUUCUUAAUAACUCUGUGACCCUGAUUUAGCAAUAUUUUGAAUCAAAUUAUUUGGUGCUUCUGUUUGUAAAAUUCUCCUUCUUUUUUUACACAGAUGCUCCUCAAGCCAAAAAUGUUUUGCUGUCUAAAGAAGAGCAAACAGAAUCUAAGGUUGCGGUCUGGAAUAAUUGCAUCAGUCAGCAGGGAACAGACUCCUUCUGCUCUCCCUUCUUGAGAUUGCCCUUAAAAGCUGCUUAUAGUCCUAACCACUUAAGUAGAAGAAAGAUAUUUCUACAUAAUUUCUACAACUCAGAUUCCAGUUUCCAGAUGCACCCAGCUUUCCUCCCUGCACUGGCCUUAUGCAUCAGAAAAACAGGUAUUUGCACAGGGGAUCAGCGUGUUAGGGCUGGCCA